CGCACCUUGCACUCCUUGGUAUUCCGAGGAGUAUGCCUGUUUGAGUGUCAUGGUAUUCUCAACCUCUAAAGCUUUUGCGAUAGAGGCUUGGAUGUGGAGGUCGUGUUGGCGCAAGUCAACUCCUCUGAAAUGCAUUAGUGUGAAUCUUACGGAUCGCCUCCAGUGUGAUAAGUAUCUACGCUGUGGUGUUGAAGUAUAUAGGCAUUCAUGCUUCUAAUCGUCUCUUCAUUGAGACAAUUACUUGACAAUCUGACCUCAAAUCAGGUAGGACUACCCGCUGAACUUAA
rnacentral:misc_RNA from 1 species